UAGAGAGGGUCUGCGCAGGCGCACUCUACCCAGGGCUUCCUGUAAGUGCUCGCUUGCUGGGCAGAAUCCAUUAUCUCCCUGGGAUACCCCAUUAUAGCUUAGCGGGAUGGAAACCAUGGUGCCCUGUUCUUGGAACUGAGGAGGAGCAAACUAAGAGCAGUGUCUGCAUGCUGUCCUGCAAUCAUUUUGGAGCUGACGACCAUUUCAACUUCAGUGGGGAGGACCCACGUUCAGUGCCAUCUGAAGCCCCCACUGCUCUCUCCCCACAGGGGAUUCCAACCAGGAAGGUUUUAGGCGUCCAGUUUUUCUACCCCACGUGCUUCACCUUCUGUCUUCAUCCAGAAGAUCUGGGUUCCACCGUGAAGGGUGGACAGCUGCUCAGCAUCAUCUGGCCUGUGUCUGCUGCACACACCUCCUCUUACCCAUAUGGCUGCAGUUAGCUUUUCUCUAACUCUUCAUGGAAAUUACAACUAAAAGAAAAUGUUACCAUUUUCCACGGGA